UUUUGAAGAGAGGAGAAAGACUUUUUGAAUUCUGUGUCUGUUUGUGUCUUCUAGGAAGCAGAUGCCAAGGGCAUUGGAGGGAAGAAUGCUUGUGAAAGAUGAAGGGGGAAAGAAGCGCGCUUCUGUGGAAAACAUUUUCAAGUUCAUUAGAUCAAACUCGAUGAGAAUGGCUGACACCUGAGAAUCAAACCAACACACUCCUCAGCAUUGAGUCCGAAAGUCACAAAAGGAAAGAGAUCCUUCAAGGCAAGGGAGAUGGAGCUAUUGGAAUAUUCAUCUUCCUUGAUCAAAAUACCCUUCAUUGGGAAAAUACUCACUUCUCCUGCAAAAAUAUCACAACUGUCUGGUAAGUCGUUUAUGACACAGCCUUAAACACUUUGAAGGUAAGUAAUGCAAUUUGAUGUAUAUUUCCAUUUGUCAUUUAUAAACUAUUUUAUAUUGCCC
rnacentral:lncRNA from 1 species